rnacentral:rRNA from 1 species
CACGUAGGCGGCUGUGCAAGUGUGAAGUGAAAGCCCACGGCUCACCCGUGGAAUUGCUUUGCAAACUGCGCGGCUCGAGGACGGUAGGGGAGAGCGGAACUCCUGGUGGAGCGGUGAAAUGCGUAGAUAUCAGGAGGAACACCGGUGGCGAAGGCGGCUCUCUGGUCCGUUACUGACGCUGAGGUGCGAAAGCCAGGGGAGCGAACG